AGAAAUGAUGAGCAAUGAUUUAUGGGUUUGGGUUUAAUAAAGCAAAGAUUGGUAUUUUUGUAACAUCAAAAGUUCAUUUUUGAGGCAAACAGAAAAUCCUGCUUAUUAUAGUUUACUGGGACUAACAACCCCCCGGACAAAUUUGGAAAAAAAUUCAGCUAAAAUGGGUGGUGCUUUAAGGAACAAUGAGACACAGCCUAGUGUGGGGAUAGAUGGUGAGGGGAUAAGCAAGGCUGUAGUAAGCGCCGUUACCAACUUGGUACUUUGUGGUUAUAGUUUUCUCCAAAUUGCGCUUGAAGAAAGUAUGAACAUGGGCAAAACUGAGAAACUCUAUCAAUCAACCAAGUGGACAUUAAAGUAUGUCACCGGAGAUUUGUUCUCCUGUCCACGCGAUGAAUCCUUGGCCCACUGCAUCAGUGAAGACUGUCGCAUGGGAGCAGGCAUAGCGGCGAUGUUCAAGAAGAAGUUUGGUCGAGUCUCAGAGUUAAAGGAGCAGAGUGAGUCAGACUAGUUACUAAAGUCUUUGUUUUGGAAAAAAAUGUUUUAUGUUUUUCCAGUUCAUUCAAAUGUAUGAUUUCAACAGCAAGUGCUAAAUCAUAUCCUGUUUUGUAUUUUUUUGUAUGUCCUAAUAGAGAAGCUUCCGGGGCAGUGUGCUGUCCUGACACAUGAUCAACGUUUCAUCUACUAUCUGGUAAACAUACCACAAUUAUACUGCAUUGGACCAAAAGUUGUUUCAUUAUUUAAUCUGGUAACUGUAUCUUUCCUAUUAUGUGUCUCAGAUCACAAAGAAAAAAGCCAGCCAGAAACCCACGUAUGUCAGCCUAAGACAGAGUCUGGAAGACAUGAAAUCUCACUGCUUAGAAAAUGGUGUCAAUAAGAUAUCAAUACCCCGAAUUGGCUGUGGCCUGGACCAGCUGCAGUGGUCAAAGGUGUCAAAGAUCCUGGAACAGAUCUUUAAAGAGACAAAUAUCUCCAUCACAGUGUACAGCCUGCCCUGUGUUGGGUCAAAGCUUCAAAUGCAUGCCAUGUAGUACAUUUUCAUUUGAGUUUUGUUUUUAACUUUAAGUCCUUUAUAAUCUCUUAAAAUUUUGGAUGAAAUCAACACUCUUUAAACGGUUUUAAGGAAACAAUAAAUAAACAAUAAAAACCUCCCCAUAAGAUGUUUACAUACAAGACUUUUAACAUCCCACUGAUGUAAAAAAAUGAUGUUUCCUGCCAUUAAAGAUACGAAACUUA